UUCGGUGUUUGUCCAAGAUGUUUUUGUGUGGGAGUCUUAAGCCACGUGUUAUUUUCUGAUAGGGUGUUAUUUUUAUUUUUCGAAAAGAUUUUUGUUUUUGGCCAGUGAAAGAAAAGCAAAAUCCCCAAAUGUUUCUCUCGAACCCUAGCUGUGCGAUUCGACGAGAGAACAAGCUUUUCGUCUUCUCCGGCUCAUCCACUGUCUUUUCCGUCUCCUCCGAGUCCUCGUCACCGUGUUGUCGAUCUCCUCCAUCUCCUCCUCACCAUCUCGUCCGUUCUGUCUCUCAAUCUUCAGAUCGAUAUAACUCAGAUGAGAAAGCUUCUACAAAAUCAGCUCCCAGGUUCCAAGAAGGCUUGUUAAAAAAAGGUGUUUAAGUGCCAGAGCGGAAGUUAAAAGGCCUAGUAUAUGUGAAUGAGCAAUUUGAUGGAUGGAAAGCUCACUGCCUCAUGAUCCUGCAAAGGAAAUUUAACCAACAAACCUGUUGUUUUGCCCCUGAUGAAGAGAUACUAGCAGAAAUAACAGAAAUAUUGCUGAAGGAGGGAAUAGUAACAAGCAAGACAGAUGCUAAGAAGCUCUGCAUGCCUUUCGUUAAAUUCAAGAAGGAUGAGACAAUAUCUAUUGGCACUUAGGCUUUAAAUUUGAGGUUGCCGUUUGGAGAGAUUGAUGUCCUUCAGAGUAACAUGGACUUGAUCAAUUGAUCAAGCGGCAACUUGGUCUUGAAGAGGUUGAAGUAUAUUCUGCAGGUGACCCUGAUAAUGUUUCAAAAGCUGGUCCACAUGCUUCAGUGCUGGAGCAGAUUCGUCCUCCAUCUCCGGGCAAUCCUACCGCCAUCUUUGUGACCAGCACAAGUGUCUCCCCUCCAGUUUAAAAGUGUUGUGCCCAUAGAAUCAUCUCUCUCUGCAUAUCUUCAUGUAAGUAAGAUCUCUUUCUAUUUGACAUUCAUCUCUAUUGUUUUCUAUAUGCAGUUUCUGGGUCUUUUUUUGUUGGAUGUUAUAGCUAAUCUGGGUACUCAAUGUGAGCUCAUUGUGAACAAGAUGUAGAUCAUGUCAGUGACUAUGGCUGUUCUCUCUCCCUGCCACUAGCUGCAUCCAAAAGUGCUUGGUUCUGUGUGCAGCGACUAUGGAUGUUGUUGUUCUUGCCGUGAUUUUGUUGGCCAUGGCUGGCCACUCAAGUGGAACAUGGUGUGAAUGCAGAGAAGGGUUGAGCGAGGCAAUGCUGCAGAAGACAUUGGACUACGCAUGUGGUGCAGGAGCUGAUUGUGUACCCAUUCACCAGAACGGACCUUGCUUCAAUCCUAACACAGUUAGGUGUCCUUCUGUUUCAUCUCAACACUCUUAGCUCUCUAUAUAUACACAAACAAAAGCUUAAAUCAAACCAGCAUGUAAAGAAGCUCAACAAACUUCCUCCAUGUGAUUGGAUGAUAGUAGUAGACAGUUUUGCAACUUAAGCAGUGAUAUGUUUCUUAUUUGUGAUGGACUUCAAACUAUAGCUUCUCUUCAAUAUAAAACAUACUUUUGAAGUAUCUCAUUUUAA